GAGGGUAUAGCUCAGUGGUAGAGCACAUGCUUAGCAGGUACAAGGUCCUGGGUUCGAUCCCCAGUACCGCCA
rfam:Camelus ferus unplaced genomic scaffold scaffold7347, whole genome shotgun sequence.